AUGUCAAUCGCUUCACUGUCUGGCAAAAAAAGCUCAAUCGGUCAUCCCCAAGGUGGCAAAACGAGGCGAUGUCCAGGGCCGGACCUUCCACAGGGCAUCUGGGAUGAUAUAUUGGCACUGCUGCCACUGCAAGAUGCUGUCAGAGCUGGCUGUGUGUCUCACACAUUACUAAGCUCCUGGAGAUGCCGUCCCGACCUCACCUUCAGCAAUGAAACACUGGGCCUGGAUGGAAAUGUGUAUGGAAGCAAUAAACUCGCAAGGGUUUUGGCCAAGAGAGUUGACCGCAUCAUGAAAAAACACUCAGGCAUUGGAGUGAAGAAAUUUGAACUUCACUAUGGUGGUUCUUCCCUCAAAUCUAGUUAUCUCGACAGGUGGCUUCGCAUUGCAGUUGCUCCAGGGAUCGAAGAAGUCAUACUUUUGGUGCCGGGACAACCCAACGAAACGUAUCACAACUUCCCAUGCUCACUUUUAUCCAAUGGGAGUGGAAGCUCGAUUCAGCAUCUCCGCCUCACCUCUUGUGCCUUCCAUCCAGUGGCUGGUUUCGGCUGCUUGAGAAGGCUGCAUCUCGAUGAAGUGGAUAGAGAGCAGUUUUUCCUACCGCGUCCUACAUGGUACCCCAUAUCAGAGGCGUCCAUACGGGCUCCAGUUUUCAUGUGGAUGUGUGCCUCGAUGCGAAUUUCAGCAGCUGGAACCAGGCGCUCGAACCUCAAUCCUCUGCCCCGAGGCCUACUCAAUUUUAAAUUUGGAUGGGCCUGGUAG
rnacentral:rRNA from 1 species